AACGAACGCUGGCGGCAGGCUUAACACAUGCAAGUCGAGCGCCCCGCAAGGGGAGCGGCAGACGGGUGAGUAACGCGUGGGAAUCUACCCAUCUCUACGGAAUAACGCAUGGAAACGUGUGCUAAUACCGUAUACGACCUUCGGGAGAAAGAUUUGUCGGAGAUGGAUGAGCCCGCGUUGGAUUAGCUAGUUGGUGGGGUAAAGGCCUACCAAGGCGACGAUCCAUAGCUGGUCUGAGAGGAUGAUCAGCCACACUGGGACUAAGACACGGCCCAGACUCCGACGGGAGGCAGCAGUGGGGAAAAUUGGACAAUGGGCGCAAGCCUGAUCCAGCCAUGCCGCGUGAGUGAUGAAGGCCCUAGGGUUGUAAAGCUCUUUCACCGGUGAAGAUAAUGACGGUAACCGGAGAAGAAGCCCCGGCUAACUUCGUGCCAGCCGCCGCCGUAACAC
rnacentral:rRNA from 1 species